ensembl:lncRNA
AUUUGUUGCUGGGACUCUUCGAUGGAUUCAAUUUGCCAUUGGUCUUCAUCGUUUGCGGCGGUGGUAGACAUGUUCAGCAGUUGGACUCGAGGCUGUGCCAGCGUUGUGCUGUUCUCAGGGUUCACCGCUUCGAGCCCGAGUGUGAGUUCCAGCCGCCUCUGAACAUACAACACCAAACGGACCUGAGAGCCACAUCAGACGAACAGACGAGGGUCAGCGCAGUCGAAGCGUUCCCAGCGUUCAGCCAUCGACUGACCGUCUGACUGACAGCUGUGAAAUUCUCAAACGUCCAUCAUCCUCCACCUGAGACACGGAAAGGAGGACAAAAAAACCGUUUACAUGCUUUACAGGUUAAAGACAAAUGGAACAUUCAUUUUUUUCUUCAUCUAUUCCAUUACAGUUUUUUUCAACUGCUUAGACACAAAAAUCUUUUUACUUGUCACACGAUUUCUGAAAGCUGAUACUCAAACAGCAGAAGCACUCACCAAAUCUGCAAAACCAUACACUAAUUCUUGGCCUCUGAUUUAGUUUUCAAUUUCAUAAAACACUUUUUGCACACAAUUCUCUAUGAAACGCACAAUAAUCUAACAGGAUGAUGGCAAAGGUGUUUGCAAAUGUUUGCUUUUGAGAUGUGUUUGUGAUGUUUUGAAUGCAGUGCUUCAUUUUGCAAGAGAUGAGAGGAAUUUUGCAUUUUGUGUGUGCAUCUCGGAUUUGUGUGUAAAGUUUUGAAUAAAAAAGGCAAAGUUUUGAAAAUGUAAGUAGCUGGAAAAAAAAAACGCGUAUGCAGUGAUGCGAUUGGCUCUUUCACUCAGAAUGCGGCCUUAUUGAGCGUUGCAUUUUUC